GAUGAACGCUGGCGGCGUGCCUAAUACAUGCAAGUCGAGCGAACAGACGAGGAGCUUGCUCCUCUGACGUUAGCGGCGGACGGGUGAGUAACACGUGGAUAACCUACCUAUAAGACUGGGAUAACUUCGGGAAACCGGAGCUAAUACCGGAUAAUAUAUUGAACCGCAUGGUUCAAUAGUGAAAGACGGUUUUGCUGUCACUUAUAGAUGGAUCCGCGCCGCAUUAGCUAGUUGGUAAGGUAACGGCUUACCAAGGCAACGAUGCGUAGCCGACCUGAGAGGGUGAUCCGCCACACUGGAACUGAGACACGGUCCAGACUCCUACGGGGGGCAGCAGUAGGGAAUCUUCCGCAAUGGGCGAAAGCCUGACGGAGCAACGCCGCGUGAGUGAUGAAGGUCUUCGGAUCGUAAAACUCUGUUAUUAGGGAAGAACAAAUGUGUAAGUAACUAUGCACGUCUUGACGGUACCUAAUCAGAAAGCCACGGCUAACUACGUG
rnacentral:rRNA from 1 species